rnacentral:misc_RNA from 1 species
AACCUUAUGGACCUGCGGGCGUAUACCUGCGGAAGGAUCAUUAAUAAAUGUUACUUCGGUAACUUAAUUAAUCCCUAACACCUGUGCAUCUUGUCGCUUCGGCGUCAUUUUAUAAACAUCAGUGUAAUGAAUGUAACGUAUUAUAACAAAUACAACUUUUAACAAUGGAUCU